AAACAAACCGGUGCGAUGGUUUGUCAGUGCAGUGGAAGUUCGAGUUUUAAUUUUUUUAUUAAACGGACGAUUCCGUGUUUUUUUUUUGAGAAGGAAAAACCUUGUGAGCGAUAUGGACGACGUUGAAAAAGUUAGGUUCUACAAGGGAAGCAGCAUCACCGGCUGGACUGGAUUGUUGCUGGGGAAACGAUCGAACGAAGGACGAGGAUAACCAGGAACGAGACCGAGAAAAAGACUAGGACCGGACGGUUUUUGAGAACAACAACUGGAGGAAACAGAGGGCUGUAUCGGAGGACGAAGGAAAUACAAAUGAAAAACCGGACAAGGAUGGGAGCUGCUAAGGACAAUACUGGAAAACAUACCGAAACGAGGAUAACCGAAUCAGGACAAUAGUGAAACACUUCCCCGACGAGAAACGGGACUACUCUCAAGGAAAGGAAAGGGAAACAAGCUGGAGGAUAACGACGAACCGGAACCACAACGAUGAUUAUAACAAGUAAAUUAUAAAAUCAAAAUAUUUAUUAAUUUUUACAUAUUAUUUUAGGAACUAAAAUGACGAAAACAUAAUAAACUAAACCGAGAGAAUUUCUUCGAACAAAAACAAAAAAUAAACUGGAACGGAAAAUAACGAGAGAACAAAAACAAGCGAAAAAAAUAUGGGACACAAACAAAGAAAAAACCGGUAAAAAUGGCGUAGCUGACAGAUGACGGUUUUUUUAAAUUGCAAAAGUACAGAAUGUCCGAGAAUGCAGUGAAUUUAUUAAAUGCUAAACACAAUUUUGUGGAAGCAGUGACCGAGAAGGAGAAAAUGCCCAAUAUCGUUUACAAGAAAAGACAAGGAUGAUUGUUUAAA